rnacentral:rRNA from 1 species
UACGGAGGGGGCUAGCGUUGUUCGGAAUUACUGGGCGUAAAGCGCACGUAGGCGGCUUUGUAAGUUAGAGGUGAAAGCCCGGGGCUCAACUCCGGAAUUGCCUUUAAGACUGCAUCGCUAGAACGUCGGAGAGGUAAGUGGAAUUCCGAGUGUAGGGGUGAAAUUCGUAGAUAUUCGGAAGAACACCAGUGGCGAAGGCGACUUACUGGACGACUGUUGACGCUGAGGUGCGAAAGCGUGGGGAGCAAACAGG